CAGAUUUUCAAGCUGACCAUUUUCUCUAUCAAGUCUUGGAAAGACUUGAUAGCUCCUAAGGGGUCCCUCCCUGAUGCCGACACAAGGCUUUGGAGCCAGGAUGGAGCCGGGGCUGGGACACUGCCCUUCCACCCUUUCUCCUAUAAAAGUCAGGAAUAUCAGGCACCAUCACAACCCAUACCAUUUCAACUGUCCUGAGACAGAGGGAAAAAAGUGCUGAGCAAGCUACUAAAAAUUUGAAAAAGUGUGACCUGUGAGUUUUUCUACUUCUUCACCCAGGGGGAUUUUGUACCAGGUAAAUAAUAAAAAACGUGUAAUGAUUGACUAGGCUUUUAAACCUGAGCUGAAGGUAAGUUUGCCUUGCUGUUCCAGUUAAAUAUUCUCACUAGCCCCCUUCUUUUUCUCCAGUUGCUCAUGCCAUGAAGUUCCAUUCAGUCCCUGAUGCAUUCUUUAUUCUUUAGAAAUUUGGGCAAUAGUCAAAUCUGACCUUUAGAGCCAUAAACAAAUUAAAUUGUUUCACAACCAAAUAAUAUGAAACAAUGUUGAAUAGCUAGGCUUCCGCCGAGUUUCCUCUUAAAGAGAAAGAAGCCCUGAAACCCUGCAGACUUGGGGGAUAGAGGGA